CACCAAUAGACUCCACAGCAGCUCCAGGAGCCCAGACACCGGCGGCCAGAAGCAAGGCUAGGAGCUGCUGCAGCCAUGUCGGCCCUCAGCCUCCUCAUUCUGGGCCUGCUCACGGCAGUGCCACCUGCCAGCUGUCAGCAAGGGAGCCUGCACACAUGAUCCUGACCGUCGGAAACAAGGCAGAUGGAGUCCUGGUGGGAACAGAUGGAAGGUACUCUUCGAUGGCGGCCAGUUUCAGGUCCAGUGAGCAUGAGAAUGCCUAUGAGAAUGUGCCCGAGGAGGAAGGCAAGGUCCGCAGCACCCCGAUGUAACCUUCUCUGUGGCUCCAACCCCAAGACUCCCAGGCACAUGGGAUGGAUGUCCAGUGCUACCACCCAAGCCCCCUCCUUCUUUGUGUGGAAUCUGCAAUAGUGGGCUGACUCCCUCCAGCCCCAUGCCGGCCCUACCCGCCCUUGAAGUAUAGCCAGCCAAGGUUGGAGCUCAGACCGUGUCUAGGUUGGGGCUCGGCUGUGGCCCUGGGGUCUCCUGCUCAGCUCAGAAGAGCCUUCUGGAGAGGACAGUCAGCUGAGCACCUCCCAUCCUGCUCACACGUCCUUCCCCAUAACUAUGGAAAUGGCCCUAAUUUCUGUGAAAUAAAGACUUUUUGUAUUUCUGGGGCUGAGGCUCAGCAACAGCCCCUCAGGCUUCCA
rnacentral:lncRNA from 1 species